rnacentral:misc_RNA from 1 species
GAUGAAAACGCAGCGAAAUGCGAUACGUAAUGUGAAUUGCAGAAUUCAGUGAAUCAUCGAGUCUUUGAACGCACAUUGCGCCCCCUGGUAUUCCGGGGGGCAUGCCUGUCCGAGCGUCAUUGCUGCCCUCAAGCACGGCUUGUGUGUUGGGCCUCCGCCCCCCGGCUCCCGGGGGGCGGGCCCGAAAGGCAGCGGCGGCACCGCGUCCGGUCCUCGAGCGUAUGGGGCUUCGUCACCCGCUCCGUAGGCCCGGCCGGCGCCCGCCGGCGACCCCCCUCAAUCUUUCCAGGUUGACCUCGGAUCAGGUAGGGAUACCCGCUGAACUUAAGCAUAUCAAUAAGCGGAGGA